CCUACGGGCGGCUGCAGUAGGGAAUUUUCCACAAUGGGCGAAAGCCUGAUGGAGCAACGCCGCGUGGGUGAAGAAGGUCUUCGGAUCGUACAACCCUGUUGUUAGAGAAGAACGUGCGUGAGAGUAACUGUUCACGUUUCGACGGUAUCUAACCAGAAAGCCACGGCUAACUCCGUGCCAGCAGCCGCGGUAAUACGUUGGUGGCAAGCGUUAUCCGGAUUUAUUGGGUGAAAAGGGAACGCAGGCCGUAUUUUAAGGCUGAUGUGAAAGCCUUCGGCUUAACCGGAGUAGUGCAUUGGAAACUGGUGGACUUGAGUGCAGAAGAGGAGAGUGGAACUCCAUGUGUAGCGGUGAAAUGCGUAGAUAUAUGGAAGAACACCAGUGGCGAAAGCGGCUCUCUGGUCUGUAACUGACGCUGAGGUUCGAAAGCGUGGGUAGCAAACAGGAUUAGAUACCCGGGUAGUC
rnacentral:rRNA from 1 species